rnacentral:rRNA from 1 species
AUCCUCCAAGGCUAAAUACUACUGACUGACCGAUAGUGAACCAGUACCGUGAGGGAAAGGCGAAAAGAACCCCUGUGAGGGGAGUGAAAUAGAACCUGAAACCGUGUACGUACAAGCAGUAGGAGCAGGCUUUGUCCUGUGACUGCGUACCUUUUGUAUAAUGGGUCAGCGACUUAUAUUCAGUGGCAAGGUUAACCAUCUAGGGGAGCCGUAG